rnacentral:lncRNA from 1 species
UUUGACGACAGCAGUGAAGCGGAUGUGGAAGCGGCCCCUGAUCCAUUUCUCUGCCCAUUCGUGAGCUCCUCGGGCCCUGUGUAUCUGAAGGGGAAUCUGUACGGCCCAGAUCCAUUUGAAGUGUAUCUUCCAGGUAUGGUUUACCUUGCUUGAACACAGCUAUGUUUCUCGGAAAGGCUUCUCGGUGUGCUAACUCCGUCUCUUUUUUGUUGUGGAUUCCAACUUGCAAAGGUUGCAGUUCUGACCCGAGGAUCGCUUUAAUGGACCACUGUGAGUCGAGCUACACAAAGAAGGACUGCUUCUCAUGCGCUCAUCCCUCAGAGGAACCCUGUGAACGGAGCCUCAAGAGCAUCCCGUGGCCACAUUCUAGAAAGCUCAUGAACUCCGCGUUCUCUCAGAACGAGGGACCUGCGGUUCAGACUCUGCGUCUAAACAAGUCCGUGGAUUUUAGUACAAGUCCAGAACCAGGAUCGGCUACUUCAAGUAACUCUUUCAUGGGAACCUUCGGAAAACCUCUGAGGAGACCGCAACUGGAUGCCUUGUCGAGCUUCGCACAACCACCAGACUGUCAGCCAAGGCCCUGUCACGGGAAAUCACUUUCCCCACCAGAGCUGGACUCUGAGUCAGAAGAAGAUGAAAAAGAAAGGACAGAUUUUCGGGAAGAAAAUCACAGGUGUACUUAUCAACAGAUAUUGCACAGUUACAGGACUCCAGACCGACAGCCUUGUGAUUCAGACACAUAGACUGGAGGGGACCAAGGAAAAGUUUCCGCAUACUACCUCAGCUGGGCUUCUAUUUAAAAGACACAGAAUCCUAUGUUUUUAAACAGACUUACAAAGUUUAAAAAGAAGAAAAAAA